GGCGGCGACAGGGCGGCCGUCGGCGGUGGUGAUGCCGUUGUCGGCGAGCAGCGCGGGCGCGAGCGUCGGCUCGAUGCCGGCCGCCACCA
rnacentral:tRNA from 1 species